rnacentral:sRNA from 1 species
GGACUUGGGAGAUGGCUUCGUGGGCAAGAACAUUUGCUGUGCAAGCAUGAAGACUGAGGUUGAAUCUCCAGUAUGCAUGUUGUGUGAUUUUGUUUGUUUGUGUGUUUUAGCAAACAAUAGCCAAAACCAUGCAUUAGUUGUUUGUCUUAAAUGGGGAGUGGAGCCAGAUCCCAGGAGCUCACUGGCCAGCAACCCUAGCUUCAUAGGGUGAAGAGCAAUAGAGGAAAAUGCCCAACAUCCUCCUCUGCUCUCCACUUAUACACAGCGGGCGGGCAUACACACUUGUACUUGUGCAGAACACUCAUAUACACAAAGAACCUAAAAUGUAGUGCGUCGUAUAUUACUUGUCUGGUAUGCACAAUUCCCUUAGUUUUAUCCUUACUGCUACAAUAAAUUUUUUUGAGAUUUGUUUUAGAAGAAUUUGAGCAUGUUCCUAUAAUUAGAAGUUUUGUGAAAAUAAAUAUAGAUAAAAUAUUUCUAAUGAUCAAAAAUGAUAGGAUUUAUCAUGAAUUCUGUUAAUUUGCUAAGUAUACGGGUAGACCUGGAAUGGGAUGAACCCUACCCAUCUUCCCACUGUAGACUUGUAAGGGAAUCUUUCCCUGGCAGGUGGCUGUAAUCUACUCUCUCCUUUGGGGCAGACCAGAGACUUGUCCUGUGUUCCAUUUCUCAUCAUGUCUGUGGAUCUGUGGGGUUGAGCAUCUGUGUAGACUUGGUGAUAGUUUAGAGUCUGGUCCUUGUGGUGUAUAAAGGUCCACUAGCAAUAGCUGAUCUGCAGACAGUGUUGGAUCUUUCCCUGGAGUGCUGUUGGUGGGCUCGGAGCCGAAGGAGGCUCUACCUCCCACAGCCCUGACUUAGAGGAUUUGUCUUUAUCAUAAAUAGUCACGAUAAUGUGUAUGUUACAGAGCCUGGGGGGUAUCUAAUAAUUUACUACUGUAGAUCUCAGUAAUGACCCUUAUUGAUAAAGAUAAAAGGCUCUCUUCUUUCCAGCAGUUCUUCUGUAAGCACCUGAGAAUGUUUUCUGGAAUAGAGUAAGCAUAUUUCCUACUUGAAGGUUCUUCACCCCUCGAGCUUUGUAAAGACAGGGCAGAAUUCUCGGCAUUAGGGUUUCUCUGGGGCUUAUUUGAGGUCCCUACCUCAUAAGCUGCACAUCAUUUUAGGGCCUAUGGAUUGGAAUAUCUAGAAUAGUUUUGUUUAUAAGUUGGGGCUGAACAGCAGAAGUCAUUUACUGGUGGAGCCCACAGUAGGCAGGUACUUUCACCUAUUUAAAAAAAAAUGUGUUUUUUUCCCUCCUCGUUUAUUUUAUGUAUAUGGUUGUUUUGCUUGCAAACCGCAUGUGCACAAUGCUCAGAAAGGCCAGAAGAGGGUGUUAGGUCCUAUGGGACUGGCAUUGUGGGCAGUUAGAAACCAUCAUUCGGGUACUAGGAAUCAAACCCAGGUCCCCCGGAAGAGCAGCCAGUGAUGUGAACUGGUGCAUCAUCUCUUUGGCCCCUCUUCUCCAUGUUCAUUACCUGGUACUUUGGGCGUAAGGAGUAGUAAUUAUAAGGUACUGGUGUCAUAUCAUGAUUACAGGUUUGUGGCUUGUUUUUUCCCAUCACAGUCAUCAUACCUUGCUCUACUCCAGUAAAGGUUUCUUGAUGAGCCAUCCAGCCAGUGACCACGAAGGCUACUGCCAGUGCUUCUAGUUUCUUUUGUGUGCCCAUUUGACUUGGGGAAUGAUGUGUCUUUUACUGCAUCCUUGUGACAAAAGCAGCCGUGUCCUUGAACACCAGUUUUGUAAGGUGCUGCUGUUCUUUGUUCCUCUCUUGCUAAAAUUCCACUUGGCUUCUGAGUUUCUGUGGUCAUAAGUUUUACAGAUUCCAAUACUAAGGGCACUGCGUGGUAUUGGGUAGAUGCUGCUUUGCUUGACCACAUUGAUCUAGACGAUCCUGCAGCUUGAGUUCAGCUCCUCUUGGGCACCUCUCUGAACCAUUGGAAGCUAAGAGCUGGGACUGGAGGGUUACUCCAGGUAUCAAGGAUCCUUGGAAAAUUUGGUUAUGUGUUAGGCUGCACGCUUCCUCUCAGAGGUUCCACCUCCCAUAAAGGCAGCAGAAGACUAAGUGUGGCUUUUGGAAGGAAGAAAGAUCAUCGCCAAGAGAGGCACUUGGUUGAGCUGGCCAGGGACAAGGCCUUACCAAGCAGUGUGUAACAGUGUGGGAAGGAAGGCUCAGGGCCAAGUUUUAGAAAACAGUGUCUGCCUAGGAAGUGUGGACACUUGUGGUAACAGUGUUCUGACUCUGAGGACUAAGACCUGUAAGAUACAGGUCUCCUUAAGUGCCUUCAACAUGACCUGUGGCUCAGAGGUUCCUGUGUGUGACCUCAUAUACCUGCUCAUUCAGUCACCUUCCCUUUGUGCAGGUCCUAAGCUCAGCCUAGACUGCCUGCCCUCACACACUGUGCUGUCCCCAGCACAGUAAACCUUUCCUCUGCUAGGUUCUGUCCACAGUUCUAUGUAUUCUUUCCCCAGAGGCUUGGGUUGUCUCCUGCCAUACUUGAUACAGGUUUUUCUCCCUGCUUCUCCCAGGUGAAUCUGAGCAAAGUUGGCGAGUACUGGUGGAGUGCCAUCCUGGAGGGAGAAGAACCCAUCGACAUCGACAAGAUCAACAAGGAGCGCUCCAUGGCCACUGUGGAUGAGGAGGAACAGGCAGUCCUGGACAGACUCACUUUUGACUACCACCAGAAACUGCAGGGCAAGCCCCAGAGCCACGAGCUGAAAGUCCAUGAGAUGCUGAAGAAGGGGUGGGAUGCUGAAGGCUCUCCCUUCCGAGGCCAGCGAUUCGACCCGGCCAUGUUCAACAUCUCCCCAGGGGCUGUGCAGUUUUAAUGACCGGAAGUAAAGGAAACCCUCGCCAUCGGGGAGAUGGAGAGUUGUCCUCCUCGCUCCCUGCAUGCCAGGGACUCACCCCUCCUGAUCAGUCCUAGCCAUUUUUUCUUUCAUGAUGAACCAGGCCUUCCCUGCUGACCUUCCACCUUCAGACUAUUCUAGAGAAGGUGCAGGGCCAGCUGCUUGGCAGUGUCUAUGGCCAACACUAAAUGAAGGUGUUUGACAUGCAGGAGGGACAUGGCCCAGCCUACUGGUAGCACAUGUUCUGUCUCCACAGCAACCAGGCACUGCAGGCAGCAUUUCCUUUCUCCCCUGUUCUCUCUGCUUGCUGUUGUUUUGACGCUAUUCUGCUUGCUUGUCUUCUGAUUGGGGAUAAGGAGUGGCUGGGCUCAGACAAAGCUAAGUUGAAUUGUGUGGGGCCAGGCACAUGCAUGAGGGCUAAUGGGGCAUGGCUCUGGGGCUCCUUCUGGGGCUGCUGUGGGGUUCCCUCACUUGUUGACCUGUCUGUCUGUCUGUCUGUCUGUCUGUCUGUCUGUCUCUCUCUCUCUCUCUCUCUCAUAUGUGUUUGUGUGCUGUGUGUGUAUGUUUUCCAUCUUGUUCAUUUCUUUGUGAAAACACUUGGCCUGCCUCAGUUUUAUGGGUAGAGCAGCAGAAACUAGGGUCUGUUUGAGAUGUUGGGAGAAAGUUUGAGGUUCUGGCCUCUGGCCCAGGUGUGGCAAGGAUCCUGUCUGUCCUCUGACUGCAGCUGCCUGCUUUGAUCCUUGUUGAAGUGAACUAAGACUAGCCACCACUACUUGCUUCCCCCCAUUAGACCUCCUCUUUGGGUAUGCUGCAUUGAAGCCUGGGUACCUUCAAGAAGAGAUCACAGCAUAUUGGUAGUUCAUUGGCAGAUCGUGUCAACUACACUCCCUAAGGAGCUUUGACCCUGAAGGAUGCCUCAGGAAGAAAUGUGUAUCCACUAGCUUGAAGGCAACUACAGUUGAGUCCAAGAAAAUGAAGAUUUCCCUGUGCCAAUCACCAGACUGCUUCCUAGAGCUCAGAGCCUGUGUGGCCAGUCCAGCCAAGGGGUAAGAAUCUGAGCAAGGGACCAGGACCCAGGUGUCCCAACCCUUUAAGGACUCUCUCUGUGGCUGUUGGUGCCUUGGCAUCUCCAUUUGCCUGGUUCUCAGUCUUGGUGUGCACAGCACUGGUUUCUGUACUCUGGUAACCAACCAUACAAACUGCAAGAAUUAAGACCCAUUGAAGCCAAACAGCCUGCUCUCUGGAAAUAGCCCUGCACCGAAUUCCAUGUCCACGUGCUUGGAAGGAGCCCUUGGAAGAGCAGAUUGUAGAACUUACUCAACUGUUUAGACAGGAGCUGGCUCGUUGCUAUCAUUUGAGGGAUUUCUGGUUUAUUUCUUAAAAGUCCAUACUGGGAUUUAAUCUGUGGGCCCAGGUAGACCAUGGUGGUAGGCAAGGGGUAGCAUCGGAACCUAAAUACCAACUCCAGCGUCUGAGCUUGUGAUUGGACAUUGGUUACCAGGUUGAUGACAUCUCUCUAAAGAGGUCAUCAUUUGGGAGUAGACUCUGUCACAUUCACAAGAUCCCCAGGACACUUCGCUUUUAGUUCUUGAAGUUUCCAUCAAGGUCCUAGGAUGUGCAUGUCCCUGUCCCAUGCAAGCUCUCCCACCUAGUGAAGGAAGUCUCGUGGUGUGUAUGUAUCUGCAGCCCUCUCUCUCAGCUGGCUGCCUCCCUCUCAGCUCUCAUCCUGUGGGUAGUCUUGCAGAAGGAGUAAUGAUGUGGAAGAGCCCUGCAUCUUUCUAUUUAGGACAAUGCUUCACUCUGUAGCGACUCAUCUUCAUCAUUUUAGCAUGGUUUUAUUUUCCGUGUUAUGUUUUUUUCUUUGUCGAUGCCCCAUUUGAGCAAACAAGGCUGUAUAGAGAAAACAGCCUGAGGGAUAUAGUAUUUGUGUAGAGGCCAUGUGGCAGGAACCUGUGCUCUGUGACUGAUCCCUGUGGCAUGUGCAUGGUGUGGUGGUGGCUACUGUGUCUACAUGUCUGCAUUACAGGGAGACUCAAUCCCAACCAGCCGAGUAGAUAGUUCUAUGCCCUGUUCUUUGCCCUGAGGCCCUACCCUGGUUUCCAAGCCACUGAAGCUGGCACAUUGCCUGUUUUCUCUUUUUAGACACGACAGCCACAGUUUGGCCUUUAAGUCCCACCAGCUGAGGUCUGAGGAAAGCAGGGUGACUCUGUCCCCUUUGUCCAAAGACCCAAAGAGUGGGGUGUCCAGCCUGCAAAGUCGCUCUGGCUCCUCGGUGUUGGUUUGCAAUAAAUCUGUAUUUAAGCAGUUCUGGGUCUGUCUGUGACGUUCACUGUUAGGACACUGCCGUGAGUGGUCAUUACCCUUGACUUCUGGCCAUGAGUCCUGAGUCCCUGUACGUGGUUAACACUAAAACCAAAUUCUCUGGGUUGUUCCUCAUGACCUGUCACUACUUUUAGAAAUUCUAUAAGCUAUUAAUUUUUAUUAUUACUAUAAAGACCCAUUCAGAAUCCUGAACCACCCUGCUGGGGAUUCCUUUUCUUGGGGUUACUAUUGCCUUGAUUAAACUCCAUGACCAAAAGGAACUUGGGGAGGAAAGGGUUUGUAUAUCUGGCUUAUACUUCUAUGCUAUAAUCGGUCAUUGAAGAAAGUCGGGGCAUGAACUCAAGUGGGGCAGGAAUCUAGAGGCAGGGGCUAAUGGGGCCAUGGAGGAAUGCCCACUUCUCCUGGCUUGCUCAGCCUGCCUUCUUACAGAACCCAAGACCAGCAGCCCAGGGAUAACAACACCCACAUGGGCUGGGUAUUCCCCUAGCAGUCACUAGUUAAGAAAAUGCCUAGUUUUAGAUCAGGCUUGUCUAUGGCCAGAUCUUAUAGAAGCACUUUUCCAGUGGAGAUUCCCUCCUCUCAGAUGACUAAGGCUGUGUCAAGUUGACAUAAAACUGGCCUACACCCAUCCCUCCUCAUUGUUUAACAGGCUUCCAAGCCCUUAGAACGCAGGCUUUCAUCAGUAUACAAUGCUGUGUCUCUCAAAAUCCACUUAGAUCUCAGACUUCUCCUUUCUGUGGUCCUCCCUAUUCCAGAGAAUCCAUCACUGACCCUACUUACUCUCGGUAGGCAGGACCUGUGGGUUCGAAAGUUAGCUCCUCAAAUGAAUGAAAAACAUUGGAAUAGCCCAUCUCAUUCUUGGACCCAGAAAUAACUUUAACAUCCCCCCCCC